GGAGAGGUGCCGGAGUGGACGAACGGGGCGGUCUCGAAAACCGCUGUAGCCCUUUUGCGGCUACCGAGGGUUCGAAUCCCUCCCUCUCCG
rnacentral:tRNA from 1 species